GAGCAGAGGGGGAGAAUCACCUCCCUUGAACUGCUGGUCAUACUUCUUUUGACGCAGCCCAGGCUAUGGUUGGCUUUCUGGGCUGCAAGUGCACAUCUCUGUGUCACUUU